rnacentral:ncRNA from 2 species
CACUCUGGAGAGCAGGCAGCGGCGCCCGUCGCGGCCUCACCGAUGGGGUAAGCCGGACAGAGCUCCCGGCGAUUCUCUCAGGUCCCAGACAGAGGG